GGGAACCAUUUUCAGGCGGGGAGUGUGGACCGGGGCGCAGGCGUCAUCCUGCCCGGGACGUAAACACGGCUCGGGGAGGGGGGCCGGGUCGCAGGCACCCAGCGCCGAGGAUCGCUGCUGCCGCCGCCGCUGCCUGGCUGCUCACAUCGGUGUGUGUUGUUGUUAGGUCACGAGUGUGCAGCAGGCAUUUGCACGCAGGCGCUGAGCUGUUUGCUACGGGGGAGAGCUGGCGUGUCAGGGGCUGGAGGCAGCCGGGUCCCAGCGGCAUCCCCCCGGGGCACGGCCCCGCGGCUGCACGGGGGAGGCAGGCACUGACGUGCGCGGCGCCGCCUCCCGCAUGGACACGGGCGCCGCAGACGUGUCCGUGCACACGUGCGCCCAGGAGGAGCCUACGGCCGCUGCCACUCCGGAGCUGCCCCGAGGUCCUGGAGCACAGCUUGUGAAUCACUCCAGGCUGUCAUGGAAAUUUAAAUUAGACCAUACAAAUAUGCCUUUCUCUGACCACCCCUGUUGGAGUAGCCCCUAUCAUUUUUAAUUAGUCCCAGUUUAAAAAUAUUUUUUUCUAGAAUAAAAUACCCUUUUAACAAAUGUA